rnacentral:rRNA from 1 species
UACAUGAGGUACAAACGUUACCCGGAAUUAUUGGGCGUAAAGCGUCCGUAGGUGGCGUGUUAAGUCAGGUGUUAAAUCUUGAGGCUCAACUUCAAGUCUGUACCUGAAACUGACAUGCUAGAGUAUUGGAGAGGUGAGUGGAAUUUUGUGUGUAGGGGUAAAAUCCGUAGAUACACAAAGGAACACCAAAAGCGAAGGCAGCUCACUGGCCAAUUACUGACACUGAUGGACG